UACGGAGGGGGCUAGCGUUGUUCGGAAUUACUGGGCGUAAAGCGCACGUAGGUGGCUUGAUAAGUUGGGUGUGAAAUCCCCCGGGCUUAACCUGGGGAAUUGCAUUCAAGACUGUCUUGCUAGAGUGUGGAAGAGGGAAGCGGAAUUCCAGGUGUAGCGGUGAAAUGCGUAGAUAUCUGGAGGAACAUCAGUGGCGAAGGCGGCUUCCUGGUCCAACACUGACACUGAGGUGCGAAAGCGUGGGGAGCAAACAGG
rnacentral:rRNA from 1 species